CCAGCGGCGUUGCUACGCCGUAUGGGGGAUGGUUCGGCUAGAGUGCUGAUGAAGGUCGUGUCAAGCUGCGAUAAGCGUCGGGAAGGUGCAAGAAGCCUAUGAUCCGACGAUCACCUAAUGGGACUUCCUAUUCUUCGGAAUGGUCAGUAAUGACUGGGAACGCGGGGGAUUGAAGCAUCUUAGUACCCGCAGGAAAAGAAAUCAACCGAGAUUCCGUUAGUAAAGGCGAUCGAACGCGGAAUAGAACAAACCGAAUCCCCAUGGGAAACCAUGGGGAGAUGUGGAGUUAUGGGUCCGUUUACUCCUUGGGCCGGGAUAUUCGAAGUUGUCUGGAAAGACACGCCAUAGAGGGUGAUAGCCCCUUAGAAGAAGGCCGGUACGGAGAUUGAUGGAUACCCAGAGUAGCGUAAGUUGGAUAUCUUGCGUGAAGUUGGGGGACACUUGCCUCCAAUUCUAAAUACAACUCUAGUCCGAUAGCGUAGUAGUAGCGUGAGCGAAAUCUGAAAAGUACCCUUAACGGGAGAUGAAAAGACCUGAAACCAUACGGUUAUAGAUUUAUGUGGCAUGAAAGGGAAGAAGCGCGAAAGCGUGGACCAGUGUUGCAUAGUUCGGUUAGAAAACCGAUCCAUGGAGUUCUGGUCAUUGGCGAGGUUAACUGUUCAAUCAGGAAGCCGAAGGGAAACCGAUUGUCCGCAGUUUUUACGAGGGACAAGGUGUGCUCGCCUUUAGUCAAUGGUGCGGAGACCCGAAGCCGGUCGAUCUAUGCCUGAGCUGCUUGAAGCCUCCGGAAGCGGAGGUGGAGGAGCUAACCAGUUCUGAUGUGCAAAUCGUUUGGAUGACUUGGGUAUAGGGGUGAAAGGCCAAUCUAGGCCGGAUAUAGCUGGUUCCCCGCGAAACUAGUCGCAGCUAGACUUCGAUCGAGGCAGAAUCUGAGGUAGAGCACCGAUUGGAUGCUUAGGGAGGGAAACCUCUCGGUGUCCUGUCAAACUCCGAACUUGGGUUCACCGUAGACAUCGGAUGCAAGGUUGCCCGGGGUAAGCUUGGUAACCAUGAGGGAAACAACCCAGACCAAAGUUAAGGUCCCUAAAUUUCAGUUAAGUGUAAUACGAAAUGGCGUCGGCAGUCUAAAACAACCGGGAGGUGAGCUCAGAAGCAGCCACCCUUUAAAGAUAGCGUAACAGCUCACCGGUCUAGAUUGUGGGCCCAGAAAAUGGACGGGGCUAAACUGAGUACCGAUACUUUGGAGUACAGCAAUGUAAUCUGAUAGCGGGGCGUGGUGCAUGGGCAGAAGCAGGGUCGUGAGAUCCUGUGGACCGUGUACCAACGAGGAUCAUGGAGUGAGUAGCAGCAUAGCAUGGUGAGAAUCCAUGUCGCCGCAGGGGCAAGGGUUCCUUGGCAAUGUUCGUCAGCCAAGGGUUAGUCGAUCCUAAGGUAAAUCUUAAUCGAAUUUAUCGAAAGGGAAUCAGGUUAAUAUUCCUGAACUUUAGUUGUCUUUGCCUAUAGUGCAGGAUCGGGAUAGCAAGAGUAAGCCUGUCAGCUUAUUUAAGUGUCUAAGGGGAUGAAGAACCGUAAUGGUGAGAAGUUCCUGAAAGCAUGAUGAGGCGGGAGUAAUCCCGCUUCUUGUAAUUCCUGGUCCCAGUGAAAACGCUAUAGUUACAACAACUAGAAUCGUACCAAGAACCGACACAGGUGUCCCUAGGUGAAUAGCCUAAGGCGUGUUAGCAUAAUCGAGGCAAGGGAAUUCGGCAAAUUAGCCCCGUAACUUCGGGAUAAGGGGUGCCAGUAUUGCGAGAUACUGGUCGCAGUGACAAGAGGAAUCCGACUGUUUAGUAAAAACAUAGGUCCCUGCUAGUCCGAAAGGAUGUGUAUAGGGGCCGAAGCCUGCCCAGUGUCGGCAUCUGAAAUUCGGUUUCAACCGAUCGAAGGACCGAUAAACGGCGGGGGUAACUAUGACCCUCUUAAGGUAGCGUAAUACCUUGUCGCUUAAUUGGCGACUUGCAUGAAGGCUCAACGAGGUUCCUACUGUCCCUGCCUCGACGCUAGUGAAAACAAUCAAUCUGGUGCACAAUCCAGAUCAUUCCAUCUGAAAGCGAAGACCCCAUGGAGUUUCACUGCAACCUGUUGUUGUUGUAGGAGAUGGACUGUGUAGGGUAGACGGGAGACGUUACCCAGGAAGGAGCGCUAGCUUCUCUCCGAGUCAACGAUGAAACACCGUCCUCUUCAUUUCUUACGACUCACCCUUUCGAGGGGACAGCUAUAGGCGGGCAGUUCGGGUGGGGCGCCACGCCCUCAAAAAGAUAACAAGGGCGCCCAAAGGUCUGCUCAGGUAGGUCAGAAAUCUACCGGAGAAUGUAAAGGUAAAAGCAGGCUUGACACGGAUCCAGACAAUAGGGAUCGGUGAUAGGAAACUAUGGCUUAGCGAACCAAUAAACCUCCCAAAUGGGGGUUAUUGAUGUCAGAAAAAUUACCCUGGGGAUAAUUGAGUUGUCACGGGCAAGAGUUCAUAUCGACCCCGUGGCUUGCUACUUCGCUGUCGGCUCUCCCUAUCCUGGUGGUGCAGCAGCUGCCAAGGGUGGGGUUGUUCGCCCAUUAAAAGGGAUCGUGAGCUGGGUUUAAAACGUCGCGAGACAGUUUUGUUGCUUUUUGAUGGAAUUGUUCGUGCCUGACGAGAAGGAUCCUUUAGUACGAGAGGAACAGGGAUUCGUCGCCUCUAGUUUAUCUGUUGUCUGACAAGGCAGGCAGAGUAGCCACGCGAUAGUGAAUAAGAGCUGAAAGCAUCUAAGCUCGAAGCCACCUUGAAAAAGAGGCACUUUAAGACAUUCGUAUAUGACGAGUUUGAUAGAAGCCGGAUGUACGCACCGAGGUUCGCCGAGGUGUUCAGUCCUGGCUUACUAACGUCUUUGCCGCUGGAUG
rfam:Thermoplasmatales archaeon BRNA1, complete genome.